rnacentral:tRNA from 1 species
GUCCUCGUAGUUCAAUUGGAUAGAACACUGGGUUGCGGUCCCAGCGGUUGGGAGUUCGAGUCUCCCCGAGGACG